GGAAAAAUGAAUUCCCAAGUUUAUCAAGACAUUUUGCAGGGGAACUUAAGGCCAUCUGUCUACCAGCUGAAGCUCAACAGGACAAUGACCCAAAGCAUAGAAGUAAAUCAACAACAGAAUGGCUUAAACAGAAGAAAAUAUGCCUUCUGAAGUGGCCCAGUCAGAGUCCUGACCUCAACCCGAUUGAGAUGCUGUGGCAUGACCUCAAGAAAG